GAUGAACGCUGGGCGGCGUGCCUCAAACAUGCAAGUCGAGCGAGGCUAUGAAUUACCGAAGGUAAGGCAUAGCCUAGCGGCGAACGGGUGAGUAACACGUGGGUAACCUACCUGGAAGACAGGGAUAACGAUUCGAAAGGGUCGCUAAUACCUGAUAAUAUCCAUCUGCCGGAUGGCGGAGGGAAGAAAGGGGAAACCCGCUUUCAGAUGGGCCCGCGUCCCAUCAGCUAGUUGGUAAGGUAAAGGCUUACCAAGGCGACGACGGGUAGCCGGUCUGAGAGGAUGUACGGCCACACUGGGACUGAGAUACGGCCCAGACUCCUACGGGAGGCAGCAGUUGGGAAUCUUAGGCAAUGGACGAAAGUCUGACCUAGCGACGCCGCGUGAGGGAAGAAGGCCUUCGGGUUGUAAACCUCUGUCAUGGGGGAAGAAGGAAGUGACGGUACCCCAAGAGGAAGCCCCUGCUAACUACGUG
rnacentral:rRNA from 1 species